UGAUGUUACAUCUUUGAACAAUCGAUUAAUUUCGAUCGGACUAUUAUAAUCUCUGAAAUAAUGUCGACUCUUCCCUUUCCGAUCAUCGUAAGUACAUUUUCACAUUUUCGCAUAGCAAUUACGACAAGUGCAUUCGCAGGUGCGACAAACUGAAUAUGUAAUACGUAGCUGGAACCAUAAGUGAAAUCAAAGCUAUUUUUGUAUUCCUCCAAUGAACCAUGAGUUGGACUCUAGGUGACGCCUAUGGCACCACUACCAACGAGUUUGCGUCUCAUACUCAACACGUAGAAGACUGGUCCUGUAAGAGGAUGGACAUCUCUCGCCUACACGCCUAGCAGAUCCGUGCUCUCGGGUGUCGAGAAAAUUUGCAUUGGACCGGAGUGUGUCUGCCUAGUAACUGGCUGGCUUUGCUGCAACGGACUCGUACGGCCGGAUUCGUGAAACGGUCCCUGCACUCUCUUUCUCUCGUUCUUUCAUUGUGUGUGUGUCCAUGAUACGUGCAUACGUGCACGCGAGCACUUGUCGAACUGUCUGCCAGAUCUUAACGUCUAUCGUACGAGAGACAGUCGAGGUGAAGUUGUCGCCUCGCGAAGGGAAAUAUUGGGCCGACGAUCGUUCUCGUUCGAAAAAUAAAAUAGCACGUACAGAAAAAGAAUGAAUCGCGUGUGCAUCGUCGGACAUUCUUCGAAGCGCUUGUAAUAUUUUUGAAGUCGCAGGUUAACAAUUAUUUUAAAAAUUUGAAGUCUCUAUUAUAUUUGCUGGGAAAUAAGUUUGAAUCUAAGUCAAAAACCAACUUAAAAUAUAUUAUCGAACCGGGAUAUCCGAUGGGUUAUGAGUAAUAUGUAUUGCAUUCUCUUAGGAUUAAUGCGGAUUCAAUUUGAAGGAAGCGAGGUUACUUGAGCGAGGCAACCACUUAAUGGCAGCACCAUUCAGGUUGCGCCAUCGUAUCGCGGUGAAUGAAGUCUCCUUGAUAACAGGUGAAAGAGUAAGCCAGCAUCACGACUCGCCGCGUUCUCAGUCGUGAUGCUUUUACGCUCUUCGAGGAUCAAAGUUUCCUGGAACAGAGAGUAAUUGCGUUUCACUUACGAUUUAUGCGUAAGUGAUUUCACUCGCAUCAUCCUUUACCGGAAAAUUUGUAUAUGCGUAUACAAAGUUUCUCCUCUUUUCAUUGUUUAUAACGAAACUUUGUCUAUCUAAUAUAUCUAAGGAUAUACGGCACAUUCCGUGAUUUUUAUAGAAACGAUAAGAAAUUAAAUAAACAUGACGUUCGACAACUGCGACUACAGUUUUAUAGUAA